AUCCUCUCUGGCCUCUUUUGGCUAAGAUCAUGUGUAGGUAAUCGAUUAUGUUUCAAACUAUUUCUUCCGCCUGCUUAACCUCUACGGCUUGCGGCACGUUAUAGCACGAUGUCGCUGCCGCCGCACUACAGGCUUCUGAUGUCAAGGCUG
rnacentral:snRNA from 1 species